rnacentral:rRNA from 1 species
AUUGAACGCUGGCGGCAUGCCUAACACAUGCAAGUCGAACGGCAGCAUAGAGUCUAGCUUGCUAGACUGGGUGGCGAGUGGCGAACGGGUGAGUAACGCGUAGGAAUGUGCCUUAGAGAGGGGGACAACUUGGGGAAACUCAAGCUAAUACCGCAUACGCUCUUCGGAGUAAAGCUGGGGACCUUCGGGCCUGGCGCUUUAAGAACAGCCUGCGUCCGAUUAGCUAGUUGGUGGGGUAAAGGCCUACCAAGGCGACGAUCGGUAGCUGGUCUGAGAGGAUGGUCAGCCACACUGGGACUGAGACACGGCCCAGACUCUUACGGGAGGCAGCAGUGGGGAAUAUUGGACAAUGGGGGCAACCCUGAUCCAGCAAUGCCGCGUGUGUGAAGAAGGCCUGAGGGUUGUAAAGCACUUUCAGUGGGGAGGAGGGUUAUUAGGUUAAGAGCCAGAUAAUUGGACGUUACCCACAGAAGAAGCACCGGCUAACUCCGUGCCAGCAGCCGC